CACUGACCUCGGCCUCCCAAAGUGCUGGGAUUACAGGCGUGAGCCACUGUGCCCAGCCUAAGACCGGUUUUUCUAUUUGUGUUUCUUUCUUUAUUUUGACAGAAAGCAAAGAGGGCAAUAUUAACGGCAUCUUCCUUGGAUGGUCUCAGGAGCACGAACUAUUCCUCUCCAAAGAGCUGCAGGCUUUCGACAGCCUUAUUAGAAGACUGCAGGAAGGUUGGAGAAGGAGACGGAACAGAAAAAGGCAGGAGGGUGACGGCGCUGGAGUAGGCAGUGGAAAGCACUCUUCUGGCCUAGGUACUAGGAACCAAAUCCCUGAGGAACUCUGAGGCCCCACGGGGGACUCCUAGUUUCCAGGUGCUCCUCUGAGCAGGGCUGCUCCCAAGGUGCUCUGUGUGCUGGAAACUUGGAAGUGCUGAUUUUUAUUUUUAUUAAAUCUGUUUUUAAUUAUUUUAGUAUUUUUUUCUAGAGGGUCUUCUGGAGAAAGAAGUGCUGGUUUUUAACAUAGCUGCUUGUCAGGCAUAGCUUGCAGGGGCUGGGUGACCUUAAGUGAGACCUCUAAUUUAGCUGUGCUCUUCGUAUCCUUAGCAAGGCUCGUCCCCACUCCUGCACUGUUUGAAAGGCAGAGCUAAUAAGAGGAUUGGGAGGAUUUUAAAAGCGGUUUGUACAGGUUCAUGGCCUUAGUUAUAAACACAGUACGUAUUGCUACUAAUUGGAUGACUAUAAGGAGUAAGGAAGAAUUUAAGGGGCAGAAGGAAAUAAUUGAGGAAGUGUAUAAUGGUUUAUUGACAAGGAUGCAUCUCAACAUUACUUAAGAUAAUGAACAAUUAGAAACAAAUACCUACUUGAUUAAAAAUGUGUGCUACAUUCCUGUGAUAGAAUACAUUAAAAUGAAAGUAUGUGGCUGGGCGCGGUGGCUCAGGCCUAUAAUCCCAGCACUUUGGGAGGCCAAGGUGGGUGGAUCACAGGUCAAGAGAUC
rnacentral:lncRNA from 1 species